CCAUGACGGCUUUUUCUGUCAGGUCACGUGACACGACAUGCCCCGCCCAUUGGCUGAUGGACCUACGUGAAUCCAGGUGAACACACAGUUCCAGUAGGUUCACAGUGGCAGUAUAACAAAGUCAGCUCUGAGGUUUCGCCUGGCUCAGCAGAGGCCUACAGAGAUCUGGGGCAUUCAAUUCAGCUCAGCUGACAGGGCUCUUUGCUUGUUCAUGGAGCUCUUUCUGGAACGGGCCAUUCACAAGCACAGGCCAUAAAUGAUCAAGUUGAAGACCACAUUGAAAACACUAUUCUCAAAAAAAAACAGCCAAAAUGCCAGGAACAAAAGGUAAUAAGUCAGACAAGAAGCCAGCUACCAAGCAACCUCAAAGUCCUAAAGAGCAGCCUAAGAAAGGUGAUCAGAAAGGAGACGAUAACAAGAAGCAAGGAGGACAGCCGAAGGGAGAGAAACAGUAACUUCCAGGCAUUUGUAAAGAUGGCUUUGAAGACACUGCUGGGGUCCUGCCGUCGUAAACACGGGGGUCCUUGGGGCAGACAGAGCUGAGUGCACCUCCCUUCUCCUCCACACUUUCCCCUCCAGUCUGCAGACUGGGCUACAUCUUCUCUCCUCUCAGAGACAGAAAGUGAAUGUGAUCUCCGUCUAUCACAUCUGUUGUUCAACUCCUGUUCCUUCCCCCUUGCCAAACUUUUCUCUGUCCCCUUCCCCACACUGGAUGCUCAGAGAAAGGCCCCAGGUAAAGCUGGAUCAUUGCUUUGAGCAGAAAAACUGUCACUCUUUUGCAAUCCUUCCCUCCCUCACCCUCACCCCAUGACUGUCUGACAGUUCAGAUUCUUCAUGUAAAUAAUGAUGAUUCU